rnacentral:rRNA from 1 species
GUGUAUGUCGUGAAGAUGAGAUUGCUCGCACGUGAGAUUUUGCUCUUACUCCGUGUUACAUGUUGGGCUCUAUAACUCCCAAGUUACUGAGACAACAUGAAAAGAUUGAUGUCAAAUCUGUCCUUGUCCAUCCUCACAAAUUUUAUGAGGAAGAGAGAAUGACUUAACGAUAUAUCUAAUAGUCUCUUCUAUGCAAGGAUGACUAAGGGGGCAUUAGUUUAAAAUGAUAUCCUUAAGAUGAUUGAGUAAAUAGAGAAGCUCAUAGGUUUAAGAAUGAUCUUAGAGGAUAACUCUCUCAUAUUCCUUUUCAUAGUUCAUAAUGAAUUUUAACAUGAACUCUUCCUUAGCUCCUUAAUUUGUUGAGGGAGGCUGAGAGCACUAUCCAGAAAGAGAGUAAAUUCUUUAUGUUGGUAAGACCAUAAAGAAAAGAAAAAUAGAAAAAUAGAAAAAUCCCUUAAGAAGAGCAAAUCGAGCUAAGUAAAGGUUGCUAAAAAGGACUUGACGAAUGACAAAGGCCGAUGCUUCCACUUUGGGAAAGAUGAACAUUGGAAGAAGAACUACAGUGAGUACCUUUGAGAAGAGCUUCAGAUACAUUCAUAUUGAUCUUCAUCUAUCAGAAAGUUAUGAUAAUGCAUGGGUAUUGGAUCCAACAAUGGAUCUCAUAUCUGCAAUUCAUUGUAGGUUCUAGCAAUGCCAAGGAGAUUGGUGAAAGACGAGGUAGACCUCAAGAUGAGGGAUGUCACAAAGGUUGCUGUUGCCGUUGGUGAGAUCACCCUACAUUUGCUUAGUGAAGUUAUUCUUGUAUUAGAUACAUACUACUUCGUUCCCUUGAUCAUCAAAAAUAUUAUUUUUAUUUCUUGUUGGACAACUAGUGGAUAUAAGUUGAACAGAGAUGAUCAGGGGUUAUGAACCAAGCGACGAAGGGGUGAAUUAGUGCAGGUAAUGAAAACUCGAUUUAAAGAAAACUUCGUUAAAAAUAAAAUCAAUAUCGGAAGCGUUUCGUUUAAGUAGAAUAAGUGAUCAAUUUAACUUAUAGAACAAUGCUAAGAUUCUUGCUUGAUGAAAGCUCAAGUAUGAAUAUGUAAAUCUAAAUAAGAUUCAAGAUAAAAAAUACUCAUAAAUUUAUAGUGAUUCGAUGUGCCUCGAGCGUCGAACAGUCGACUCAGAACUGGUAUGGACAAGGGGAACCCGAUUGUUUAAUUAAAACAAAGCAUUUCGAUGGUCCCUGUGGAUGCUCACGCAAUGUGAUUUCUGCCUAAUGCUCUGAAUAUGAAAGUGAAGAAAUUCAACCAAGUGUGGGUAAACGGCAAGAGUAACUAUGACUCUCUUAAGAUAGCCAGAUGCCUCGUCAUCUAAUUAAUGAUGCGCAUGAAUGGAUUAACGAGAUCCCCACUGUCCCUGUCUACUAUCCAGCAAAACCACAGCCAAGGGAACGGGCUUGGCAGAAUCAUCGGGGAAAGAAAACCCUGUUGAGCUUGACUCUAGUUUGACUUUGUGAAAUGACUUGAGAGGUGUAGGAUAAGUGGGAGUUGGUUCGCCGAGGGAAGUGAAAUACCACUACUUUUAACGUUAUUUUACUUAUUCCGUGAGUCGAAGGUGGGGCCUGGCCCCUCCUUUUGGUCCCAAGGCUCGCCUAGCGGGUCGAUCCGAGCAGAAGACAUUGUCAGGUGGGGAGUUUGGCUGAGGCGACACAUAUGUUAAAAGAUAACACAUAUGUCCUAAGAUGAGCUCAACGAGAACAAAAAUCUCGGGUGAAACAAAAGGGUAAAAGCAUGUUUGAUUCUGAUUUCUAGUACGAAUAAGAAUCGUGAAAGCGUGGCCUAUCGAUCCUUUAGACCUUCGAAAUUUGAAGCUAGAGGUGUCAGAAAAAUUACCACAAGUUGGCUUGUGGCAGCUAAGCGUUCAUAGUGACGUUGUUUUUUUAUCCUUCGAUGUCGGCUCUUCAUAUCAUUGUGAAGCAGAAUUCACCAAAUGUUGAAUUGUUCACCCACCAAUAGUGAACGUGAGCUGGGUUUAGACCGUCGUGAGACAAGUUAGUUUUACCCUACUGAUGAUCAUGUCGCGAUAGUAAUUCAACAUAGUACAAGAGGAACCGUUGAUUCACACAAUUGAU